GGUAAGCUUUCCAUUUAGGACGGCAUGCAGCCUGAAGGCGAUUGUGGCAGUUCUCUUGUGUACAUAUAUAUAGAACGACGCCGACGAAGCCAGUGGCAAAAGAGGCGCUCCUCUCAACGCAUGCGCUCCACAGUUUACGAUUGAAGUUCGCUAUAGUGCUGCUGCUGCUGACCACAGUCGUCAUGAAGUUCCUCCUGUACCUAAGCAUCAUCGCAGUGGGCCUUGUGUGCAUCUCAGCACAGUUCUUUGGUGGCCCAGGUCCCGUUCGCGGUGGACGCGACCGACAUAUACUGCGCUCUGAAAGGCACGCAAUCCUGCCCGGGCGCAGUGGGUACAAUGGCUAAUGGCUCAGACGAUGCAAACAGUUUGCCAUGCCGGACAGCUAGGGAAGACAUAGGAAAGUUCAUUGGCUGCCCCUGAAAGCGCCCAAUAAAUUAUUUUUGAUGCCGACA
rnacentral:lncRNA from 1 species